rnacentral:pre_miRNA from 1 species
AAUAAAUACAGUUUUACACGGUUCAUGUUUAAUGUUUAACUAUUCGUAUUAUUAAAAAUUUACUAUAAUUAAUAUUUUUAUUGCUAUUAGAUGAUAAAACAUGAAGUACUUUACGUGUGACUAUUUUUUUCUAAUUUUUUUUAUAAAAUUUUUAAAUAAGACGGACGAUUAAACGUUAGACACGGAUAUCAAUGGGCCACGGCUGAA